rnacentral:rRNA from 1 species
GAUGAACGCUGGCGGCGUGCCUAAUACAUGCAAGUCGAGCGAACAGACGAGGAGCUUGCUCCUCUGACGUUAGCGGCGGACGGGUGAGUAACACGUGGAUAACCUACCUAUAAGACUGGGAUAACUUCGGGAAACCGGAGCUAAUACCGGAUAAUAUAUUUAACCGCAUGGUUCAAUAGUGAAAGACGGUUUUGCUGUCACUUAUAGAUGGAUCCGCGCCGCAUUAGCUAGUUGGUAAGGUAACGGCUUACCAAGGCAACGAUGCGUAGCCGACCUGAGAGGGUGAUCGGCCACACUGGAACUGAGACACGGUCCAGACUCCUACGGGAGGCAGCAGUAGGGAAUCUUCCGCAAUGGGCGAAAGCUUGCCGGAGCAACGCCGCGUGAGUGAUGAAGGUCUUCGGAUCGUAAAACUCUGUUAUUAGGGAAGAACAAAUGUGUAAGUAACUAUGCACGUCUUGACGGUACCUAAUCAGAAAGCCACGGCUAACUACGUG